rnacentral:rRNA from 1 species
AGUGGCAGACGGGUGAGUAACACGUAGUCAACCUACCUCUUUGUGGGGGAUAACUAGCCGAAAGGUUAGCUAAUACCGCAUAAGAUCGUCGAGGGGCAUCCCUUGACGCUGAAAGCAGAAAUGCGCUGAGAGACGGGACUGCGUCCCAUUAGUUAGUUGGUGGGGUAAUGGCCUACCAAGACUCCGAUGGGUAGCUGGCUUGAGAGAGCGACCAGCCACACUGGAACUGAGAUACGGUCCAGACUCCUACGGGAGGCAGCAGUGAGGAAUUUUCCGCAAUGGGGGCAACCCCGACGGAGCGACGCCGCGUGUGGGAUGAAGGCCUUCGGGUCGUAAACCACUGUCGAGGGGGACGAUAUUGACGGUACCCCUGGAGGAAGCCCCGGCUAACUACGUGCCAGCAGCCGCGGUAAGACGUAGGGGGCAAGCGUUGUCCGGAAUCAUUGGGCGUAAAGCGCUCGUAGGCGGAUCUUUAAGUCUGUGAAGAAAGACCUGGGCUCAACUCAGGGAACGGCAUGGA